UUUUGGUGUUACACCGCUGAGCCGAGCCCAACUCCAAUGAGCACGUAUGGUCGGAGCUGCUGGAAAUCUUCACUGGACUUAAAACUUAAGCACAGUGGGUGGACAUACUGACAGUUGACAAAUUAAAGGAAAUACCUCAUUAAAUAAGUGGAGACACGUAACUAAUGUAGGUGCAGUGCCCAGGCCCAGUUGAUUUUUGACUUAUCAAGAUGGUGAGAGGCAAAGAUCUCAGUGACUUUGAAAGAGGGUUCAUUGUUGGAGCGCGGAUGGCAGGAGCUUCAGUCACAAAGACUGCUCAGCUGGCUGGUGUUUCAAUAGGAACAGUGACUAAAGUGACAGCUGCAUUUAGAUCCACAGGGAAGACAUCAGUAAAUAGGGUCGGAAAUUGUGGUCGACAGCGUACGUUUAAUGACCAUGAUGCUCGUGCAUUAGUGCAGUAUGUAAUGAAAAACAAAAGAGCGACUCUCACACAAGUGACUGAGAAUGUUAACGCAGGACGUAAUCAGACUGUGUCAGCAAGAACAGUUCGUCGACAGUUACAUAGAGAGGGAUAUUAUAAAAUAAAUGAAGGCAAAUAAAAUAAAAUAGUAGGCAGUGGUCUACAGAGAUCUUCUUCUUCAACUUUAACUUAAACAGGGAGGACCAUUGUGAGCUUUUUACAAGGAUGCCGAGAUUACAGUGCAUAUAAGAAAAUAAAAGCACAUAUAAGUCACCAUAUACAUCUACAGCAUAAGGGACAACACCAUUUAAAAGAAAACAUGCAUUCACACUGCUCUGUAUCUGUUAAACAGAUUUAAAUUGAUUAAAAGGGGUUAGUUUAUUAUUAUUAUAAACUAACCCCUAUUAUAUUUACAAGCUUCUGCUGAUUUUCAAGGUCCAAAUAGUCUUGGGACCUAGUGCAGUCUGAAACUGAUCUAUAGUUAAAUUAACUAAAUGACACUGUCAGAUGUGGAGGUAGUGAAAUGGUCAGAUAAUUCAUCCUUCAUCACAUUCUUGACAAGUGCUAAGGCGCACUGAAAGCUGUGCUGACAGCACGUGGUGGACCAACACCUUAAUAAGACACUUUAUGUUUUUUUUUCUGUAAUUUGCCACCCAUCUGUAACUUGAGAGUUGAAGAGUUUAAUGGAUCAGGUGAGAGCAUGGCAUAGGUAGAGGAGCCUCAAAUGGAAGGAGAGGGCAGCCCCACCAGAGACCAUUAUUAUCUACCACUCUGAAGUGGAGAGGGGGUCUGGAAAGGACCAAGGCAGUGAGGAUGGAACUAAAUUCUGCACAUCUACAGGUGAAGGUGGAAGCUGGAGCCUUCCUCCAGACAGUUGUUAUGUGACCCUGACCAUCACCUGGGGCAAGAAGAAGAGUCAGGUGGUGGACAUAUAUAUCACUUUGACAGAGAAGGAACUCAGAGAUAUAACCAAGUCAAAGGAACAUUGUCCUGUGGAGCAUGUCCUGUCCCUGUGUGGGUUCCCUCCUCUCCUUCUACCAUGGCACUCUCAUCUGAUACAGUGUCUUCCUGGUGUACAAUGAAACGUGGAUGCUCUGUGUAGGGCCCCCCGGGACAUCAUACAUGAAUCAUUGUGUGAUUUAAACUAACCUCAACUUCCCAGAAGUCCUCAGGUCUCACACCUAUACAUGAACUCUGCCCAUUCACCUAACAACCAGCUACCAUUGGUCACAGUGUGGCCCAGGACCUGUGAUGCCACCGGAACAAAACCCCAGUGCUGCUUUGUGUCACUCUUCUCUUCAUUGUUGCACCAACAGCUUGACUCUCCCUCUCAUCACUGCAGUGUGAGUUGCCGCUCUCUGACCUCCAUGUGGAUUAACUAAUGAACAAGUUUAAUUUACAUAACUACAUAACAACACAAAGCCUGCCAGCUGAUUUUACAAGCAUCAGGAGUCACGAAACAGAAUUAGUGUUGAGCAGCUAACUCUGUGAGGGAACAAGUGAGAAGCCGCACAGGUAGCACACCUUUGACUUUUGUCGAUGUGUAUGUAUUGAUUUGGUUUGGUUUGAUUUGUUUUUUCAUAUGACCAACUCACCUUUCUUUUGACUUGGCCCGUUUUAUCCUACAUAAACUGCCCUUGAACAUAGACACAUACACACACACAAGAAGAGGAAACUCAGAGCUCCUGCUUUAUACACUACUUUGGUGACCUUUCACACACACCAUGCGCUCCCAGCUGCCAUUUUGAGUCAACGUAUUGUCUUGUCUGUUUUCCUUUGAAUGCACACACAAACACAUCCACACCCAUCUAUAGUAUCAUUCAUUAGAUUACACACUAUUUUGUUAUAUGUGAAAUAAAAGCAUUGGAAAAUA